rnacentral:rRNA from 1 species
AUUGAACGCUGGCGGCAGGCCUAACACAUGCAAGUCGAACGAGUGGCGGACGGGUGAGUAAUGUCUGGGAAACUGCCUGAUGGAGGGGGAUAACUACUGGAAACGGUAGCUAAUACCGCAUAACAUCAGAUGUGCCCAGAUUGGAUUAGCUUGUUGGUGGGGUAACGGCUCACCAAGGCGACGAUGCCUAGCUGGUCUGAGAGGAUGACCAGCCACACUGGAACUGAGACACGGUCCAGACUCCUACGGGAGGCAGCAGUGGGGAAUAUGGCACAAUGGGCGCAAGCCUGAUGCAGCCAUGCCGCGUGUGUGAUGAAGGCCUUCGGAUUGUAAAGUACUUUCAUCAGGGAGGCGUUACCCACAGAAGAAGCACCGGCUAACUCCGUGCCAGCAGCCGCGGUAAUUC